rnacentral:lncRNA from 1 species
GAACGACAACCACACAAGAUGCAAAAAAAAAAUAAAAGAAUAUUUUAUUCAAAAAGGAAAGUCCAUUACAAGGCAACUUUAUUUUUACAAAGAUUAUGAAAGCUGCAAAAUUGAAGCUCACUCGACAUCCUUGGUCUCACCUAUCCUUGAUCGUAAAGCCGAACUCCACCCUAGCGAGGUCCUCAGUAGCACCCACAUGUGGAGUGAUUACUGUUAUAGGUGAUAAAAAAUAAACCUAAUUCACUACUAUAUAGAUAGUAUGAGUCAUGAUCGUAUCCAUAGGGAUCGUGUUAAUUAUGGUUGAAUCGAUUAGUUUUAGGUUAGAGAGCAAUAUGAACGCUGAUUAAAAGACUACUUAG